UCGUUGUAGUAUAGUGGUGAGUAUUCCCGCCUGUCACGCGGGUGACCUGGGUUCGAUCCCCAGCGAUUUAA
rnacentral:tRNA from 1 species